GACGAACGCUGGCGGCGUGCUUAACACAUGCAAGUCGAACGGAAAGGCCCUGCUUUUGUGGGGUGCUCGAGUGGCGAACGGGUUAGUAACACGUGAGUAACCUGCCCUUGACUUUGGUAUAACUUCAGGAAACUGGGGCUAAUACCGGAUAGGAGCUCCUGCUGCAUGGUGGGGGUUGGAAAGUUUCGGCGGUUGGGGAUGGACUCGCGGCUUGUCAGCUUGUUGGUGGGGUAGUGGCUUACCAAGGCUUUGACGGGUAGCCGGCCUGAGAGGGUGACCGGCCACAUUGGGACUGAGAUACGGCCCAGACUCCUACGGGAGGCAGCAGUGGGGAAUAUUGCACAAUGGGCGGAAGCCUGAUGCAGCAACGCCGCGUGCGGGAUGACGGCCUUCGGGUUGUAAACCGCUUUCGCCUGUGACGAAGCGUGAGUGACGGUAAUGGGUAAAGAAGCACCGGCUAACUACGUG
rnacentral:rRNA from 1 species